rnacentral:rRNA from 1 species
AACGAACGCUGGCGGCAGGCUUAACACAUGCAAGUCGAGCGCCCUGCUUGCAGGGAGCGGCAGACGGGUGAGUAACGCGUGGGAAUCUACCUGGUGGUACGGAAUAACGCAGGGAAACUUGUGCUAAUACCGUAUAAGCCCCCCUUUGGAGACAUUGGGGGGGAAAGAUUUAUCGCCAUUAGAUGGGCCCGCGUUGGAUUAGCUAGUUGGUGAGGUAACGGCUCACCAAGGCGACGAUCCAUAGCUGGUCUGAGAGGAUGAUCAGCCACACUGGGACUGAGACACGGCCCAGACUCCUACGGGAGGCAGCAGUGGGGAAUAUUGGACAAUGGGCGCAAGCCUGAUCCAGCCAUGCCGCGUGAGUGAAGAAGGCCUUAGGGUUGUAAAGCUCUUUCACCGAUGAAGAUAAUGACUGUAGUCGGAGAAGAAGCCCCGGCUAACUUCGUG